rnacentral:tRNA from 1 species
GCCUCCGUAGCUCAGGGGAUAGAGCGUCGGUUUCCUAAACCGUGCGUCGGGUGUUCGAAUCGCCUCGGGGGCA